rnacentral:rRNA from 1 species
CCUACGGGAGGCAGCAGUGGGGAAUAUUGCACAAUGGGGGGAACCCUGAUGCAGCGACGCCGCGUGAGGGAAGAAGGUUUUCGGAUUGUAAACCUCUGUCUUGUGGGACGAUAAUGACGGUACCACAGGAGGAAGCCAUGGCUAACUACGUGCCAGCAGCCGCGGUAAUACGUAGAUGGCGAGCGUUGUCCGGAAUUACUGGGUGUAAAGGGAGUGUAGGCGGGAUCAUAAGUUGCGUGUGAAAUGCAGGGGCUCAACCCCUGAACUGCGCGCAAAACUGUGGUUCUUGAGUGAAGUAGAGGCAGGCGGAAUUCCCGGUGUAGCGGUGGAAUGCGUAGAUAUCGGGAGGAACACCAGUGGCGAAGGCGGCCUGCUGGGCUUUUACUGACGCUGAGGCUCGAAAGCAUGGGGAGCAAACAGGAUU